UACGGAGGGGGGCUAGCGUUGUUCGGAAUUACUGGGGCGUAAAGCGCACGUAGGCGGCUUUGUAAGUUAGAGGUGAAAGCCUGGAGCUCAACUCCAGAACUGCCUUUAAGACUGCAUCGCUUGAAUCCAGGAGAGGUGAGUGGAAUUCCGAGUGUAGAGGGUGAAAUUCGUAGAUAUUGGGAAGAACACCGGUGGCGAAGGCGGCUCACUGGCUCAUUACUGACGCUCAGGCGCGAUAGCGUGGGAUCAAACAGG
rnacentral:rRNA from 1 species